ACACGUGCCGAUACAUCCAUUACUCUGUCAAAAGCAAAAGUAUCCCAUAUCAGCAGGGUGGAACAUACUCUAGAUUUGAUGGACUUGUUUUGACCCUCAAAUUCUUCAGUCGGCCUUAUACUCUCUGGAGGAAACCAGAAAACCCUCCAGCUCAGUUCAAGAAUAAGCCUGUGGAAAGUUACUUCUUCAAAAGCAAAAGUAUCUCAUAUCAUCUCUUCUCAUUUUUCUUCUCUUUAUCCUUCAUGCUGUUGCAAGAUGGGGAGAAGGUGAACAAUCAGUCGGAGCUCUGAUUGCUUACCUUGUCUGUCACCUCUUUCAGCAGACCCCCUA
rnacentral:lncRNA from 1 species